GCUGUUUUGAAAUAAAGUUUCCGAUGACUGCAGGAAGGCCUCUCUCAAGUGCUACCUGAACAUGGCUACCAGAUGACCCAUAAGCUGCUACACAAAGAGCCAUCAAGUUCAGCGAGAGUAGGUGGGCACUGAAGCUACCAAAGCCACAACCAAUAUCUAGUACAGUACGCACACCAGCUUGAAGGAAUUCUGUGUCACUUCCCAGCCCAAUCAUCUCUGCAAUUUGGUGAGAGUAAUCUUUGACAUCAUCAACCAUCAUCCCAUCUUGUGAAUGGAAAGCAAUUUGAUUUUCUUCUAGUAACAUUAGCCUUUUCAUAAUGCUUCCAGAAGAAAGGAACUGAUCUUUGGUAAGCUUCACAUUUCCACUCCAUAUAACAUCCCUUCCUGCUGGCCAAGACAAAGGGAUCUUAUAGUCCUUAGGUGGACGAAUCAGACAAUAUUGACGUUCUUGUGAUAACUCACAAUGCCGAUCUAACUCCUCGCCAUCUUUAAGCCCAGCUAGAAUAUUUGCAGACACAUUGUAGCAAGGCACAUAAUUUUCUCUUUCCUUACCACAAACACCAACAUCCUUUAUCUGAUUUUCUCCCACAGCAAGGCUUUUUAGCUCUAAAUAAUCGCUUCUUGCUUGCUCCUUUAGCUUUCUGUAAUUCGUGUAUAUAUCAUUCUUCACAGAGGAAGUGACUGAAUUAAAGGUACUUGAGGAUGAUCCUAGCAAUGCUAUUACCACCAAGACACUGACAAGAAACAAGAGUAACCAGUUGAAUGGUGAUCUCGACCUGAAAUUUUUUGAUAAAUUUUUAAGCAAAGGGCUUUUCAUCUCCAAUUUAUGUAACCUCAAUAAAGUUCAAGUUAAGAAGAUCACAAUGUGCUAGCUAUUUCCUUCAACCUCAACCUCCAAGAGCUAUGAAAAUUAUAAGCUGUCAUCCGAUUUCAUCACCCACAAAUA
rnacentral:misc_RNA from 1 species